AGCAAAAUGAUGAGCAGAUAUGCUCUGAAUUUUAUGUGGAAGCCUGUAUAUCUAUUGGUCUUCAAAGUUCUCUGAUUGCU
rnacentral:snoRNA from 1 species